AGACACUGAAUAAUAUUUGUAGAACAACAAACCAAAAGCAUUAAGCCACCUAAGUUUUGGCUUUGCAAGGGUGUCAUCGCCUCCCUGACCUGGGAACCCAUAGCACAUGUACCAUUGCCAUCAGAGAACAAAAGCUUGACUCCUGCUUGUCCCAUGGAGCCCUCAACACCAGUGACUGAUCAGGGAUGGGCUGCCUGAGGAAAUCAAACCUGUGAGGACCACGUGGAAGCUGUGUGACCCCACAGAUAAGUUGCUGGUUUAGGUUUCCAAGGGUUGGAGGCUAGUGCUUAAUUUUAAAAUGACAGGUCCUGUGGUAAUGUCCUAAGACAACAACAAAGAAAUGGCUCUAUCUGAUGCCAGUGACUGUUCCUCCCAGCAACCAGAGGGCCACCAGACGUGGCCAUGGAAAUAAUGGCACUGAUGUGUGCCAUUGUGGAAAGGUAGCAUGGAAAACACUACCUCUGCUUCUUGAGACAGGAGUUAGCACCAGCCUGACCAAUGCUCCAGGCUGCUGCCUAAUUGUUUAUGUUUUAUUGCCAACUAAUGCCAGACCGCAGUCUACCAACAGUCCAAGUUGGAUUUCCUCUGACUGUGACUAGUAUGGGACCUGUAGCACUGAAAAAUCACUGCAAAGUCAGUCUAGCCACAGCACAACAUUUUGUUACUGCCCAGCUGCCUCUUGUCUGCCACAGCCUUUUACCACAGGCUCUGUAAAGGUGGGACAGAGCUGCUGCUGCUCCCUGGAGAGAGGUGAGUGCCUUGAAUUUGAUUGUGUGGGGCUGGGCCUGUGUCUGCUUCCUGCCUCUAUUAUUAAGGGGAUCUUAGCAUCUCUUUGAGGCAAUUUGGCUUUACAAGAAAUGAAUUAUCUGCAUUGACCAGCUGAGGGCAGGAACAAUUUGUCUAUGUUUUCAGGUGGUAUCAGAAUUAAGUGGCUUACGUAUAGAUCAAACCUCAGGAGAGCAUCUGUGAUGAGAGAUGACCUUACCUGCCAGGUGGACUGGCCUUGUCCCAGCCCAGCCUCUGUCAGUCACCUGCCCCUUGCAAAAAUGUUCAGCAGCAAACACUGGGUGGGUGGCAUCUGGGAUGAGCAGGGAAGUCAAUACAGCCCAGGACCCCUUCAUGUGUGUGCAGUGCAGCUGCUGGCAGCAGGACUGCUCAGCACCACUGGGAAUGCACGGGGGUUUUUAGUAAGGGACAUUAUGCUUUUCCAGAUCAGUCCUGCCUCCCUCUCUUGCCUGUUGGUGCAGAAAAUAACCCAAAGAGCAACUAAACAGCAGACAAAGAAAGCUUUCCUAACAUUUCAGUCUUUGUGUCCCUGCUCAGUGAGGGCUGGGAGUAAAACUGUCCCAGACACAAUGGUUAAAAAAUGCUGAAGGGGGAGAGUGUAACAGAGAAACUACAAAGUACACUUGUGCUGGUGGUGGAUGUUUUUUGUUACUGUUAUUGGCUAUUCAAACACUUACCCAAAAAAAGGAAAGGAGAAGUGGAGACAGCAGCCUCAAAUCAAACAGAUUUUAAACACUUCACAAACUUUUUCAAAAUAUAUUAAUCUUCCAAACACUCUUUAGCCUGUUAGUUAGAUUUAAAUAAUCAUGACCUAGUACUUACUAAAUAACUGCAAUCUUUUGAGAGUUCACAUUUAUAGUCCAGAUCACUACAAAACAAAGGGCAGAAAGAAAUCCCAUUUGGAUGUGAAUAUUUAAUGCGGCAUUUGGAAAGCUGCUGCACUGACACUAAUUUGAGCAGAUAAUCAAAUAAGUAUUAAAACAAGCAAUUAUGCAGACAUAUAAUUAGAACAGGAAAAGGUUCUAAGUUAAGCCAAUAGAAAAUGGUUUAUAAAGCCCAUUUGAUCACAGCCUUUCAAACAGAGCUGGAACAAAACACCGAGGCUGUUAAUUUAUAUUUGGGAUUAUAGAUCAGUGGAGGUACCAGUAGUAGCUGGUAUGUAAAUAGGGGAUGGAUGCUGGGAUUGUUCUUCAGGGAUGCACUUCAGAGCCUGCAAAUGUUAACUGGAGCCUUUGUGUUGUGUCAAACAGGCUUUGGGUCAGGAUCCAUCACCCUCUGAUGAGGGAGUCCCACAAUUCCUUUAUUUGGCAGCUUGCAGGAGAAGCAGAAGUAAAACAUAUUGCAAAAGCCAAGCUCCAACAGGAGUUCUGUUCAAUUACGUCUUAACAUUAAACUGUAGCUAAUGUGCUUUUACCAGAUGUCCUGAUGAAAUACUAUUACAAGCUGGUGCAUUGCAUUAAUUAAAGUGAAAUUUCAUAAUGAAUUCUUUUUUCAAGGCAGCAGGGAUGAAUUGAUGACCUACAUAACCUCCCUUUGCUCUAAAAUAGAUUUCCGAACUAAUGAAAUGAAUCCCCCUGGUUGUGGCAGGGGAGCAGAGCAAGCUGUGCUUUGCAUCCCAGCUACACACUGCGACAGGAAAAAUCUGGGCACUCUCCACAGAGAUUUUGGCUUGCCUUUCAUUGUGUCUAGCAACAAGAGGGAACUUUCAGAGGCAGGAGGACUCUCCAUUAAGGCACCUUGCAUAACGGGAGGCUUUUGAAAGCUCCAUUAAAAUUCUUGGACAGUGCCCUCACAGAGAAGCUGGGGGAUAAGCUGGCUGACCCUCUACCUUAUAAACUGGCACAAAUACACAGACAGUUAAAUGCACAUUUGUUCAAGUUUAAGAGGCUUAGAGUAUGUCAUUAAAAUAUAAUCCACAAGGGACAACAAACAUGCCCACAGCUGGCAGGCUCAGACCCGUCUCUGCGGCGAGCGUGUCGGGAGAGAAGCGCAAGGAUCAGCGUCGCCCAGCCCGUGUGUGUGGGGAGCUGAUGGGAGGGGGGAGGCCUCUCUUCCCAGGCAUAUGUUUUUAAAAGAGAAAAUAUGCCUUUGAAUUCUGAUUAUGCCUGUGUUAGUACAUUUUGAUCCAUGGUGGUUUGAGAUGAAAAGCGAUUUAUGGUGUUGCUAAGUCUCAGCAGUCUACGUUUCACUGAGCCGUUGCAGUGCAAUCAAAACAGUGCCUCUACCAGUGCUGGAUUGUGCCAGUGAGUCCUAAUUGCCUGAAAGAUAAUGGUGUCAUUAAAGUCUCUUGCCUCUGUGAGCCUUGUACUCCUCAACAGAAAAGAUGCUUUUAUUGUUGGUUUCAAAGGAGCCCUCAGUCACUGCUAAAGCACAUUGUCCAUUCAGAGGUACUGGGAGGCUCCAUUCUGUAGCUCCUUUAUUUCUCAGCUUCUCCCUUCAUAAGCAGUGGGCAGGCAAGAGCAAUGGAGAGAAAUGCAGAAAAAAUAUUGACUUUUCAACAAGGAACACAAAAUAUAAAUCAGAUAUGAUUCAGUCAGACAUCAUAAGGGAGAAAAGUGUCUAAAGCCUUGCACUGGUUUAGGCUUCUAGCAACAGAAAUGGAGAAUGCUUAUGUGUAAGGAGACACACUCCACAAAAAAUGCCAACUUCACCAAUAAUUUUCAAGUCAGUAAUCAUUUUGACAGAAAAGCUGUGACCAGCUUCUUUAUUCAUACAAAAGGCAUGUGGCCCCACAAUUACUCCUUAACUCAUAGCCAUUCUUCUUUCUGGACAAUUUCAAUUAAGAAAUGACCUCUCCAUAAAACAUUCAAUUCUGCUACAAGAUUUAUUCCUGUCUUCAUCUGGCAACAUCUUCCUGAAAACCAGACAGACACUUAUGCAGGUAAAUUUAUCACUUGUCUAUUUAUGGUUGUGAGUUUUCUUAAACAGAAGAGGGUUUUGCUAUUAUUAUUUUCCUGUACUCUGAAUCUUCAAGAAUCACCUUUCUGUUUGCUUUGCACAGUGUUCUGCUCACUCAGGGAGCCUGUCUUCUCUGGCUCAGCAAUACCAGACCACAUACAAACGACAGUGGCAUGCAGAGGUAGCCUACAACAAGAGUUUUCUGCAUUUGUGCCACCCAAAAACUGAACAGAGAUGUAUGUAAACUCUAAGACCACAGAAGUGUCAGGACAAGUAGUAUCUGCUGAGUACAGCAAGCUUGGUUUGCACAGGGGCUAUAGUCCACCUGACCUGCUAUCCUCAUAAAAUCUUUACAGUUAAAUAUGCACUCAGCUACCCUUAAGAGACUUAGGGAAGGCCAUUAUAACAUAAUCCAGAGUGCUCACCAAUGCAUGCAUUACACAAAAAAUGCUUGUCAUUGCUGCUGCAGGGUACUUUCAAGCAGAGAAGAGCCUCCACAAAUCAGCAUUCAGAUAAUUUUCCUUUCAUACUUUCCUUCUCCUGAUCAGCCUUUCUCUUAGCUUUUACUCCCCCAGCUGUUACCUUUCCAUCUUCUAUCCAUGUUAUCCAUCACGGUGGGUAUAAGAGCCUUUCUUCAUUGCAUCACAUUUCUGGAGUACUUUGGAGUACUCUGUUGUAGUUUUGCCACUGAUUCUCCCUUUGUUUAAGACUUACUGGCAAAAAUGUUUUUUUUCUUUGCUGAAGCCUUUUGAAUGUAGUAUCUAAACUGCAGUCCUGCUCAAGGCUGUGCCUGUGAGGUGGCUGUGCCUGUGAGGUGCCUUUUUCUGAAGGCGGCAGGGGUCUCAGUCAGCUGGAUGAGUUCGAGGGGGCCUUUCACAUGGAGGGCAGGCAGCAAUUACACAGAGGAACUUAAUGCUUCUUGCCUGAAAUGUAAGUGGCAGAGGGUGAUUGUUUAAACCCCAAAACCAAAUUUGGAGACUCCCCCUCUUCAUACAAUGCAGCAGCCUGGAAAGGGCCAAAGUGGUCAUUGAUAACCACACCAGAAAGCCCAGGGCAGCAGCGUGGGCAGCUCUCCCCAGCCUCUCAAAUCCCUUUGUGCACACCAGGCCCUGCCAGGGACUUGCUCUGAUGCCCAAACCCUGCAAAAUGUGAACUCAGAUCUCAAUCUAGUGUAUGAAAAUAGACAGAGUUUUGCUUGUUUUUACAAAGAACCAGAGCACGGAUGGCAGUAAACCCAUGAGCCUUUUGGCUUAAUCCCAUUUCAGACACAAAAAAGAAACUCCUGCCUAACAGCCACAGCCUCUCUGGGAAAAGUCAGCUCUUCCUAUGUUUCCCUAACUAUAUUUACUCUGCCAUGUGCUGUCAUCCUCCAAUCCUCCUUCAGUGUCACUUGAAGAAAAAAAUCUGUAGUGAAUUAUAAUGACAAUACAUUGAAGAUGGCUUACAGCAGAGAAUGGCACUUCACAGCAGCCAGCUGUGACAAAUCUGGGUGGGGAGAGAACAUUGUGCAUGUCCCAGAGAUUAUAGCUUUUAAAAUAAAAACCUCAUUCUUGUUCCCUGGGGCUUUUUAAUGAAUUGCCACAUGCAAAAAUGCCUUAAACAAAGCAUUGGUGAUUAUCCAUCUGACUGGGGAUCAGUGAUUACAAAAUAAAAGAACAGGCAGCACCCUGAAAACUCUAAACCUACUUGAAGAGGUCUACUGAUGCUAAGGAUAGUCCCAUAUAAAAGGCAAAGAAGUAGAGGUCACCAAAGGAGCAAACACCUUUAGAGAGGUGGGAUGUCUUACUGUGGUUAACAUUUCUCAGCAGGACAAAACUCCCACAUCUGAGCCAUGGACCAGUUGCACCACACACAGACUGAGGGUAAGAAGUGCCAGUCAGAUCCCAGGAUGAUUCAGACACCUGACUAUAUGAAAACCAUGUUUUGCCCUUCUGGCAAGAGCUAGAACAAGGCCAGGAGCAGCAGUCCUGCUGGUGUGACCCAGAGGGAAGUGGUUCAUGUUGGAGCACAAGGGUACAGUCCAGUGAGGGUUACAGGUCCUACAAAGGAUGUUCUGUCCCAUGCAGAUAUCUGCUUAAACACAUCCACACUCUGGCCUUUCCCUCUUGGACAGACAUGCUGGUCACAGCAUUUAACUCUGUGUUUGGCUUAGGGGUGCAAGGGAAGAGUCCAAACUACCAUGGCUCCCUCUGCAGUUGCUGGGUGAGGUGAGCUCCUCUCCCUUGUAAUGCAGGCUCUGCUGCAGAUCAUGCUGCAGGAAAGUCUACCACUCUCCAAGGAAUGUAUGGGGGCUCUGGAGACCACAGUCCAAAGUGCUUCAGCUUGGGCUGUGCACAUAAACAUCACAGCACCAGGUACUACUGGAGACCUCCCGCUCCCUUAUCCAUCUUUAACCACUUUUCCAAUGCCUGUGCACUGGCCCUCUGGGGCUCUCCCCAGCCUGCACAACCCUAACCCCUCCUCUGAGUCCCAGAAGCAUGUUUUAAAGCAUCCCAAACUAGAUUGCUCUGAAUAGCCUCUGCACAUAUAGAAGGAGGCUGAUGCAUCCCAAUGCCCUGGGCUUGCUGCUCAUGGAACACAGCGUCCCUCUGCCUUUCCCAGGAUGUCCGGAUGUCCAGCAGCCUGCCUGGCAGAUACCCAGAUAUCCACUGGGAUAUCCACUAGCUCACUGCCUGGGCCACUGAGGAGUUGGCAGGUCCUCACACUUCCUCUACGUUCGCCCUGCUUUCAUUUUCUGUUGCUCCUGGGUUUGGGAGCUUCCAGGCUAAAUCUGGGUCAACAUCUUUCCAUAGGAUUUCUGUUCCCUUCCUGCCAUGGCUGGCGGAAGGGGAUGUGCCAGGACAGUACUCAAGAGCCAUUGAUUGAUGAGGAAGGACAGGCAGGGAAUGAGGGUUUUUGGUUUAACUAUGUCAAAGCUGUGCACAAACACAGACCCAUUGGCAUUGCAAGCGUCAGUAAAAAUCAGAGGCUGAUGUACAAAAAUCUCUUGUUGUCUCCAAAAAUUGCACUGAUUCAUUUAAAUCCAGUGGGAAAUUCAGUGUUUGCUUUUUUACUGUGAUUAAUAGGUAUUCAGAUUUUCAAAAUUUUAAGCCUUUAUUCCUAACAUAUGUAACAUAGUAAGUUUAAAACCUUAGACCACUUCAGCUCUGAAUGUUGGGAAACCCACAGGAAAAAACAGUCUCAGCCCUAUUUCAGUAAAUGUGCAGGAGGAUCAGUAUGAGUAAAAGCUCUUGUUAGUUCUCUCAUGCUUUGCUCUUAGUAAUUGGUUGAUAUUUUAGGAAUGGAAUAAUCUGUGGAAGUUGCUUUCUAUAGCAUGUGCUGCUAACCCUUUUUUUUCUGUCAGAAAAUCCUUUUGAAAUUAGACCCAACUCCUGGAAUCAACCCAGACACUGCUUUUCAAGCCAGAAGCAUAUGUAUAAGCAUCAUCAAUCAUGCCACUGACUCUUAUCACUACUCUAUAUUCACUUUCUACCUGGUUUGAAUUCCUAAUUGGCCCUGCUGAGCAACUUAGAGCCCUGAAGAAAGUGGUGGAAGGGAGGUGGGAGAGCAUGUGACUUUCCAGCUGGGAUGGGGAGGGUUUUCUGCAAAUUACACUGAUAAAGUCUGUUUCCUGGAGAAAAUAGAGAAGAAGCAGUUGGCAACAGGGUGAGUAAGAGUUGGAUGCAAUGGGGUAUGAUGUACAAAAGUGUGUACAACUGGCUCAAUUAUCAUCUGAGCAGUUGGCCUGGCAGCUGCUUAUAUCACGUGUUUCAGACUCGUGUACUGCAACACAAGCACACGAGGAGUCACUUGGGCAGGAAUGGAGCAGGUAAUUCAGGAGACAAGGCUGGUUGUCUGAUUUAAGUACAGGAGAAGUUCUGAAAAAAGGAGGUAAUUUCCUGUUCCACCUAGAGAAGGAUUUCUCUUCCUCUGCUUAGCAAAACACUGAUGUUCUCUCCACCCUCAAGCUCUCAUUUACAGAAAUCUCUUUCUCUCAGUAAGGCUGUCCCAAGCUGCCUAAAACAAUGCAAACUGGGUGGGAGCACCCUCAGGGACUGGUGACCCAGGACAGGAUGAUGGGUCUGGGCUGUGCCAGGGAAUGGGCUGCAUCCUCAGACAGGCAUGGUGGGUCUCAGGUACAGCUAACCCAAAGGGGAUUGGAGCUACCUCUCCAUCUCAGGUGCAGAGUAAGCACUAAUAGUGUGCACACAGAACAGUUCAUUGCUUCACCCCCCCUGCUGUCCUCCACCCUCCUCCCAUUAAGCAGUCACACAUGCUGCUGAAAGCCAGGGCAGCUGUAUUCAUCUAUCAAAGCCUGUCAGCUUGAGAGCAUAGGCUCUUCCCAUUAAUUAAGCAAAUGUAAUGUGAUUAGCUAAGGCUGUAAAUGUUUCUAGGCCCAUUUAGGAACCUACAAAACACCAAGCAUCACUGUCUCUUAUUUUCCUGUGCUUGUGCUAUGUGGGAUGCUCCUCUGGGGCUGUGACUUUAGUUUUUAAAUGUUUGUGUGUGAGAAAAAACAGGGAGAUGUAAUAGAAAGCACAAAAAAUGGGUCAUGUAGUUCUAAAAUUGCUGUUUGAAUCUGAAGAAGAAAUUAGUUUCUGCACUUUUAAAAGACUUUUGCCUACACUUUUUUUUAAUGGAUGCAACAAUAACUGCUGGAAGCUGAAUUUUUGGUAAGACUCGAUAUACCUCAUUUAAGUUUUCUACUUGCUUUGAUGAAAAAUAUAUAUUACUUAGCAGCUAAAUAUCUAAACUGGGGUGCUUUAGGCUGUCAACCUGAAAGCAAAUGGAACAGUCAGUGGGAAGUUGCACACAGAAUAAGAAAAUUCUUGAAGGAAAUUUGAGUGUUAUGAACUAGAGCUACUUAAGGAUUUAAAGCUGAAGUGGGAUGCCUAAAUCUAAUACUGUGAUGCUGAAUGCAGCCCUUGCCAGACUUUCUGUGUGUAUGAACUCCCUGUUUAGAACCCUCCAGAUGUUUAGAGUCAUUUUGAUCCCUGGGUCUCAAAAGUGCUCCCACCCCAUCCAGGCUGAGCUGCUCAGGAAUGUGAUGUGAAUCUACAGCUCUCUGGGAUCCAGAAAUUUAGCCUUUCUUUCUCCAGUUCCUUGCACUCAGCUUGGUAGGCAUGCACUAAGAAUGCCUCAGACAAAGGGGAACAGCUCAGACCACUCUUGAGCUCCUACAAGGACUUCCUAGAGGUUGCAUCCACACAUGGACCACAGCAAGGGAAGCCCAGUGCCUGAUGUUUCACCAUCUGUGGGUUCUGUGCCAGCUCUUGAGAUCAAAGUCUUGGCACAUUGCAUACUUUCAUGUGGAUGUUAAAAUGCCCUCAGGACUCAAAUCAUGAGAGCAAUUUCCUGAAGCUGAAUUCAUUUAAAUGAACCAUUCCAUCAGACACUGACAUCCUCUCUACAGUCUCUUAGAUUGAUCCAAAUUCCCAACUUUGUUUCCAGAAAUCUGGGGCUUUUCCUGCAUGGGUGAAGAAGAAGCUAUCAUCAUGGCAGGCAAGGCAAGAACAGGGAUGAAUGCCUGGUCCUGCUAUUGUGCAGAUAUUAAAAGAUGGAAGAGGCACAGGAUACAGUGUUUGUUGUGCACUGCAGUGAAUCUCUUCCCAGUCACACAGCCAAGUUUGAAGCUAAAUUCAAAUGAAAACAAUUCAUUUCGAUGAAGAUAAAUUAAAGUUUGCAAAAGAUAUUUCCCAGAGAGCGCAGCUGAGACAGAUGAUUUCCUCACCAUCUUUGGAAGGAGAAGGUCACUUGGGAAGAGCUUUUCACACAGCUCCUGACUUCCUGCAUUACUGAGAAUAGGCUUGGACAACAAACAGUUUCUGCUACUUGCCAGCGUUUAUGCUUCUUUUGGACAGAAGCAGAAAAUAACAGUGUUCCGUGAGUUAUGCACAAGUGGACUUCACAAAAUCACUGGGCUGUUUGGAGUGGGUAUCUAGCAGUUCAACCUUGUGAUGCUUUGGUGUGUAUUAAAGGCAAAGAAGUUUGUCAAAGGCUGGCUGGAGAAAAAUAGGACUUGGUGAAACAUGGUCCAGAAACUAUUGGACAUAACUGUAUGUUUGACACAAACCAUGCACAAGAAAAUGAUAUGAAAAUGUGAGAGGCAGAAUUGGAAUCUUAAGUGCAAAUGGAUUGAAAUGUAUGUGUGCAAUUUGUGACUAAAUUCAACAUGAAUGGAAAGAGAAUUAUCAGGAAACCAGGACAACUCUGCAGCCAAGGAUGGCUUUAAUGCACAGAAGAACAUAUGCCCUGCUGAGAGGCUGGCAGCAGCUCACAAAUCAGGAUACAGUUGCUGGAUGUCUCUACUUGCACCACAAUCAGUCUGUCAAUGUAACUACAGAGAUGUUCAGGAAGAGCUGGAGGAACAGGAAUGCAACAAGGAAUGGCAUUAUUGAUGCUGUGUGUAUUAUUUUGGGGCUUUAUGAAAUCAUCAGUCUAGGAAGUGUUCAAUCCAGGGGAUCAUUCACAUUUCAAGCUUCGUCAUCUUUUAGACUUUUGUUAAUAAAAUGUAAUUUUACAAUUUAUAACUGUUUUCUACUCAUUAUCAUUAAGAAGUCUAUUAUUUAAAAGUGCUCCAGGGAUUAUGAUCUGAAAUUUCUCCUUGACUGCUUUCCCCAAAUUUGGUCUUCUCACCCCUGAUUCAACUUGUUCCUGAAAGAAGUCCUAUGAAAUAUACUGUAUAUCCUAAUACU